GCCCGGUUAGCUCAGUUGGUAGAGCGUUGGACUUUUAAUCCAACGGUCGCGGGUUCAAGUCCCUCAUCGGGCG